UACGUAGGGGGCAAGCGUUGUCCGGAGUUACUGGGCGUAAAGCGCACGCAGGCGGUUCUGCGCGUUUCCGGUGCCAGCUCUCUGCUUAACGGGGAGAGUGCCGGGAAGACGGUGGGACUCGAGAGCCUUAGAGGGACAUAGAAUUCCGGGUGGAGUGGUGAAAUGCGUAGAUAUCCGGAGGAAUACCAAAGGCGAAGGCAGUGUCCUGGGAGGCGUCUGACGCUGAGGUGCGAAAGCCAGGGGAGCGAACGGG
rnacentral:rRNA from 1 species